AAGAACAAACACAUGUUACUGAUAAAGUUAAGGAGACUGAUAAUGACUACCUACUAGCAAGAAACACGUCAAAAAGAGUCAUCAAGCCACCUCAUAGACUUGGUUAUGUAGAUCACAUAAUGUUUACCUUAAUUUCUGCAAGUGAGGUCCUUGAUGAAGAACCUAGAGAUUACAAGGAAGCUUGUAAGACCCCAAUUUUGGCCCUAAGAUC
rnacentral:lncRNA from 1 species